GCAUGUUUUGUGUCAGCAGAGGUGUUGAAAAGACAUAUUUUGGAUGUGUUUUUGCUGAGUGAUGUUAGUAAAAUUCAUGCAAGUGGGAUGAACAGAGUGCAGGAGUUUAUAUUCUGAUACUGUUCGGGUGAAACAUGCAGCACAGCGGCUUCCAGGCAUGUGUACUCGUUGUUUCCUGUUUGGCACCAACACUUUCACUGCAUCAGAUGAUGUAAUAUGACGUCCUUGAUUUGUUUCCACCCAGAGGGAGGAGGCGUCCCUCUGCAGAAAGAGUAACGUUAGGCGGGAAAAGGACCGAGGACGGCGGGCUGAGAUCUCUUGGUGAAAAAUGGCUCCCAAAACCAAAAAGGCGAUACAAGACUUUCUGGAGAACCUGACAGCUGGGAACUUUAAGAAGUUCUGCCAAGCACUCGUGGACCGCAGCGAUAAGCCUCGGAUCGCAACCAGCAAGGUGGAAGGAAAAGACUUUCUGGAUGUCACAAACGUUAUAGUCACAACCUUCGGUGAGGCCAAAGCUCUCGACGUGGUUAUUGAGCUGCUGACAGAGUGCAAGAUAAAUGCAGCCGACCUCGAAUCAAAAACCAGAAAGAGACCAAAAGUCUUUGUGGACAAUGGUGACCCUGCCCUCCCUAGAACCUCGAGCGGGGAGUUGGAGACAGAGCCCUCACAGGAGGCUCUGAACAUUGUGGCAGACCAGAAACAAGCAAAGGCUACUAGAAAUGGAGGUCCUGUGAAGGAGCCAGAAGAGGUGGAGGCUGAUGCGGUGGCCCGCGUUCGCUCUGAGGGCGGGGAUCCGUCUAAUGAGUGGCUCGUUCUGAGCCGGUUCAUCAUUCAGUUUGGCCAGUACAAAGGUCAAACCUUCAAGUGGCUGCUGGAGAAUCAUGUGGGCUACGCUGUUUAUGUGGUGGCCACCCACCAGGACGAGCGAAUGUGGAAGCGAGACGAUCGGAGCCCACUGAUGGUUCACAAGGUACUGCAGAAAAAUCAUACUCGACCGGGUGCCUGUGCCUGAGAUUGUUCUUACUUACAUGCACUUCUGACAUUUUACUGUAGCUGUUGCACAUCUGAUCUAUUAUAACCAAACCAUGUCCACAGUCCUGAAGUCUCUCCCCUUUCUGGAACCAGUAGAAAUGUUCCUUUUGUUUUCAGUCAUGCUUCUUGCGGUGUGUAACAGUUUGACAUUA
rnacentral:lncRNA from 1 species